UACGUAGGGUGCAAGCGUUGUCCGGAAUUAUUGGGCGAAAGAGCUCGUAGGCGGUCUGUCACGUCGGCUGUGAAAUCCCGAGGCUCAACCUCGGGUCUGCAGUCGAUACGGGCAAACUAGAGUAUUGCAGGGGAGACUGGAAUUCCUGGUGUAGCGGUGAAAUGCGCAGAUAUCAGGAGGAACACCGGUGGCGAAGGCGGGUCUCUGGGCAAUAACUGACGCUGAGGAGCGAAAGCGUGGGGAGCGAACAGG
rnacentral:rRNA from 1 species